rfam:Cavia porcellus supercont2_157 genomic scaffold, whole genome shotgun sequence.
AGGGAUUUAGCUCAGCAGCAUAAGCUCCUGCCUUGCAAGCAGGCAGUUGUGAGUUCAAUCCCUG